UAGGGGAUAUUGCACAAUGGGCGCAAGCCUGAUGCAGCAACGCCGCGUGGGCGAUGAAGGCCUUCGGGUCGUAAAGCCCUUUUAGAGGGGAUGAGGAAGGACAGUACCCUCUGAAUAAGCCUCGGCUAACUACGUGCCAGCAGCCGCGGUAAAACGUAGGAGGCGAGCGUUAUCCGGAUUUACUGGGCGUAAAGCGCGUGCAGGCGGUUUGGAAAGUUGGAUGUAAAAGCUCCUGGCUCAACUGGGAGAGGUCGUUCAAAACUACCGAACUAGAGUACAGUAGAGGGAAGUGGAAUUCCGGGUGUAGUGGUGAAAUGCGUAGAUAUCCGGAGGAACACCAGUGGCGAAAGCGGCUUCCUGGACUGUAACUGACGCUCAGACGCGAAAGCUAGGGUAGCAAACGGG
rnacentral:rRNA from 1 species